UACAGGGGGUGCAAACGUUGCUCGGAAUCAUUGGGCGUAAAGCGCACGUAGGCGGUUCGUUAUGUCGGAUGUGAAAGCCCUUGGCUUAACCGAGGAAGUGCAUCCGAAAACUGGCGAGCUAGAGUACUAAAGAGGAUCGCGGAAUUCCCGGUGUAGAGGUGAAAUUCGUAGAUAUCGGGAGGAACACCGGUGGCGAAGGCGGCGAUCUGGGUAGAUACUGACGCUGAGGUGCGAAAGCGUGGGGGAGCAAACAGG
rnacentral:rRNA from 1 species